rnacentral:rRNA from 1 species
GGGGAAUUUUGCGCAAUGGGGGGAACCCUGACGCAGCGACGCCGCGUGGGUGAUGAAGGCCUUCGGGUUGUAAAGCCCUGUUGGGGGGGAAGAUAAUGACGGUACCCCCUGAGGAAGCCCCGGCUAACUACGUGCCAGCAGCCGCGGUAAGACGUAGGGGGCGAGCGUUGUCCGGAAUUACUGGGCGUAAAGGGCGUGUAGGCGGCCUUUCAAGUCGGCUGUGAAAUACCCCGGCUCAACCGGGGGGGUGCAGUCGAAACUGGGGGGCUUGAGUGCAGGAGAGGAGGGUGGAAUUCCCGGUGGAGCGGUGAUAUGCGUAGAUAUCGGGAGGAACACCAGUGGCGAAGGCGGCUCUCUGGCCUGUAACUGACGCUGAGGCGCGAAAGCGUGGGGAGCGAAC